AGAGGUGUGUAGCUCAAAUGGUAGAGCGCUCACUUAGCAUGUGAUAGGCUCGGGGUUCAAUAUCCCACGCCUCCA